GAUAAUGGCUCAGGAUGAACGCUAGCUACAGGCUUAACACAUGCAAGUCGAGGGGCAGCGGGAUUGAAGCUUGCUUCAAUUGCCGGCGACCGGCGCACGGGUGAGUAACGCGUAUCCAACCUUCCGUACACUCAGGGAUAGCCUUUCGAAAGAAAGAUUAAUACCUGAUGGUAUGAUGAGAUUGCAUGGUAUCAUCAUUAAAGAUUUAUCGGUGUACGAUGGGGAUGCGUU
rnacentral:rRNA from 1 species